GCCACAUUAGUGAACAGAUGGACAUUGCAUAGAGAGGAACGAUAGGAAAAGGCAGAUUUAGAAAAGAAUGUCCACUUGGAGGGGUUUGUGGCAUUUGGAGGGGGGGAAAUCAGUGCCCAGGAAGGUGGUACGCCGUUAUGGAAUUGCAUAUGUUUGUGGCCCUCAUCCUCUACAAGUUUGAAUUCAUCCCGCUGGAUCCAGUGCCCAAACCGAGCCCUUGUAGAGCAUUUGGUGGGAACCCAGCUGCCAGACGGACCCUGUACAGUGAGAUACAAGCAUAGAUAGAGCGCUCAUGUUCAGAGGGCUGUGCUACUGCUUUAGAGCUUUGUUGACAGUCUUGACAUAAGAGUUGCAGAGAUCAACCGCAUAUCCUGAGCUGAGCUUCAGAGGUUUGAAGCAUCAUGCUGAAUGUUAAACUGUGACCUGGACACAGGCAAAUACUAUAUCCCUCUAAAGAAAACAAGAAAAUCAUACAACGCACGCGAAAGGUAAUUUAGGAUAUUAACUUUUAUAUAUAUUUCAGUUUUGUUGGGUUCAGCGUGUCAUGUAAUAUUCCCAUAUAAACUUUAACAUCCAAUUAAAAAAUAUUUGUCUAGUAAAAUUAGCUAAUUCUCGAGAUCAAUACAUCCUUUAUUAGACCGCUUUGUCGAGUUAAAUGCAUCCUUAUGCAUCCAGGUGUCGAAAUGCUGAAACAAUUCAUUACCUUCCAACAGCACUUAAUGAGAGCAGCGUCAUAGAGGGCAGAGCGUCACGUUAUUUAAAGGGGACGUUAACGCGUUAACCAGUAGCAAAUGAUUAAGUAGCUGCAUUGGUUACUUUUAUGCCACUAAAGCUUUUAUAUGUAGUUUGGGGUAACAAAGGGGUUUUAUAGGUUUGACUGAAAUAAUAAUGCAAUAACUGACACUUUAAAUCAAUGUUUCAAGAAACAACAAGAAGAAAAUUUAACACAAAACAGACAAAAAAGUAGCCAUUGAUAAUAUCUAAACAAUAUGUAGUAGUAUAGUAUAUAGUAUCCAAAUCAAAAUUUAAUUAAAUUAAUUUAGGUGU
rnacentral:lncRNA from 1 species